CUCAUUUCUUCCCUCAUUUGCUGGCACAUCAUAGAUGCCAGGGUGUGCAUCUGCUCAUCUGAUAAGAACAUCGAUCCACAAGCUGGAGGAGAAGGCAUGGAAGUGGAUGGUCCAGCCGAGCUGGAAGGUACAUCAGGAAAGGGCAUAGGGCUAUGUGGAGGAGAGAGGUGGACAGGCUCCUGAUGAUGGAUCUCAGGCUCUA
rnacentral:lncRNA from 1 species